rnacentral:tRNA from 1 species
AAUGAGAUGCCUGACAAAAAGGUUUAUUUUGAUAGAAUAAUUUAUGGAGCCCCCCCCUCCUCUCGUUA